AUGCCUCUGAUGCUCCAUGGUAGCCGGCCCUGCAUCUCCACUCAGGUGUCACCCUUUCUGUUACAGUUGGUUUUGCAGCCUGAUAUGUGGUUAAGAAGCUAUUGUGGAGAGGUGAAGUUAGCAGGGCUGAUGGUGGAAGCUUCCGGGUUUACUGGAGAUAUGGCAGAGUGUUACUCAAAGAAAUACACCUGGCUUGAAAUGGACUAUGGUAGAAGUGACAAGGAGACGAAGGAAGACUUUUGUUGUCAAUCAGAUAAAAGAGGCAAAGCUGGAGACUCCGAUAUUAGCAUGAUGAAGCAACAAAUGAUGGAAAUAGUGGAGAGGUUUGUGUGA
rnacentral:rRNA from 1 species